rnacentral:rRNA from 1 species
AGUGAACGCUGGCGGUAGGCCUAACACAUGCAAGUCGAACGGCAGCACAGUAAGAGCUUGCUCUUACGGGUGGCGAGUGGCGGACGGGUGAGGAAUACAUCGGAAUCUACUUUUUCGUGGGGGAUAACGUAGGGAAACUUACGCUAAUACCGCAUACGACCUACGGGUGAAAGCAGGGGAUCUUCGGACCUUGCGCGAUUGAAUGAGCCGAUGUAGGAUUAGCUAGUUGGCGGGGUAAAGGCCCACCAAGGCGACGAUCCGUAGCUGGUCUGAGAGGAUGAUCAGCCACACUGGAACUGAGACACAGUCCAGACUCCGACAGGAGGAAGCAGUGGGGAAUAUUGGGCAAUGGGCGAAAGCCUGAUCCAGCCAUACCGCGUGGGUGAAGAAGGCCUUCGGGUUGUAAAGCCCUUUUGUUGGGAGAGAAAAGCAGCAGGUUAAUACCCCGCUGUUCUGACGGUACCCAAAGAAUAAGCACCGGCUAACUUCGUG